CCAGACUCCUACGGGAGGCAGCAGUGGGGAAUAUUGCACAAUGGGGGAAACCCUGAUGCAGCGACGCCGCGUGAGUGAAGAAGUAAUUCGGUAUGUAAAGCUCUAUCAGCAGGGAAGAAAAUGACGGUACCUGAGUAAGAAGCCCCGGCUAACUACGUGCCAGCAGCCGCGGUAAUACGUAGGGGGCAAGCGUUAUCCGGAUUUACUGGGUGUAAAGGGAGCGUAGACGGCGAUGCAAGUCUGAAGUGAAAGGCCGGGGCUCAACCCCGGGACUGCUUUGGAAACUGUAUGGCUGGAGUGCUGGAGAGGCAAGCGGAAUUCCUAGUGUAGCGGUGAAAUGCGUAGAUAUUAGGAAGAACACCAGUGGCGAAGGCGGCUUGCUGGACAGUAACUGACGUUGAGGCUCGAAAGCGUGGGGAGCAAACAGGAUUAGAUACCCUUGUACGG
rnacentral:rRNA from 1 species